rnacentral:SRP_RNA from 14 species
UGCGCCAGGUGCGGACGGCAGCAGCGACAC